CUCCCGCGGUGGAUCCGGUGGCGUGGAGGCGCGCGGGUGAUAGGUCCAUCACCCGCGUGCCUCCACGCUGCCGGAUCCGCCGCCUGUG
rnacentral:pre_miRNA from 1 species